CAUACUAUAACCUUGAUAAAUUACCCAAAUGACUCAUUUCUAAACAUAUACGACUUUUAUUUACAAAUUACGAUUUACUGCUGAUUUGCCCCAAAUAUUUAGUGCUCAACAAUGUUUUCUAGUAAUCCCAACUACACCAAGCUAAAAACUCAUCUCAGGCUUGCAAUUAAUCGUCUAAAGCUGUUAGAAAAAAAGAAAGCAGAACUGGCGCAAAAAAGUCGCUAUGAAAUUGCCAACUUCAUUAAGGAAGGAAAAGCUGAACGCGCUAAGAUUCGAGUAGAACACAUUAUCAGAGAAGAUUAUCUAGUCGAAGCAAUGGAAGUAGUGGAAAUGUAUUGUGACCUCCUUCUGGCUAGAUUUGGUUUAAUCACCCAAAUGAAAGAACUAGAUGAAGGCUUAUCUGAGGCAAUUGCAAGCCUCAUUUGGGUAGCACCCCGACUGCAGGCUGAUGUACAGGAGUUAAAAAUAGUGUCAGAUUUAUUGACUGCAAAAUAUGGCAAACCAUUUGCUGAUAAUUGUAGGGCUGAAACUGAAUCAGCAGUAAGUGCUAAGCUCAAGCACAAGAUGUCUAUUCAGAGUCCUCCCAAGAAACUAGUUGAAAAGUAUUUGAUUGAGAUUGCCAGUUGCUUUAAUAUUCCAUAUGAACCAGAUCCACAAGUGAUGCAAGAUGAUGGUGUCCUCAUUGAUUUGAGUCAGGAUAAUAAAAAUAAUUUGGGAGGUGGAGGUGGCAUGCCUUAUGGUUUUAUUGGGUUUCCACAACCACCAGCACUUCCAACUCCAUUUAGUUAUCCAGCGCCUUCUGUGGCAUCAAAUGAAGAUAAUGCAUCUGCGCCACCACCUAGUUAUCCAUAUGGGGCUCCAUUUUCAUACAACAUUCCUCCAGCUGGCGGCAAUGGCGGUGAAAGCGAGAAAAAGGAAGAUAAUACUGGUUUUGAUUUUCCUGCAUCUUAUAAUAUUUUGUCCCCAGAUGAUAAUAUCAAAAAACCAUCGGACAAACCAGUGCCGCAGCCGAGGACAAACGUUCCAAUCUUUCCGGAGAUUCCCGACUUGCCGUCGGUACCCUCCGAUAUGCCUGGAAACGACAUCGACUUCGACGACUUGACCAAGAGGUUUGAACAGCUAAAGAAGAAGAAAUAAUCUGUUGUUAACACCACUCACUUGUUCUAAAUGUUUUAACGUUAAAUUCUAUGGAUAUAUUUAAUAUAAGCUUGUAAUGUUGUUAUAUUAGGCUGAACACUUUAGAAUUGGCGUUGGCUCUUUAUCACGUGACUUGUUCUAAUGACAA